rnacentral:rRNA from 1 species
UACGUAGGCAGCAAGCGUUGUUCGGAGUUACUGGGCGUAAAGGGUGUGUAGGCGGUUCUUAAGUUUGCUGUGAAAUCUCCCGGCUUAACCGGGAGGGUGCGGUGAAUACUGAGGGACUAGAGUACGGGAGAGGAAAGUGGAAUUCCUGGUGUAGCGGUGAAAUGCGUAGAUAUCAGGAGGAACACCGGUGGUGUAGACGGCUUCUGGACCGACACUGACGCUGAGACACGAAGGCCAGGGGAGCAAACGGG